ACCUUCGGGGAACGUAUAACGGCGUCGAGCGGCGGACGGGUGAGUAAUGCCUAGGAAAUUGCCCUGAUGUGGGGGAUAACCAUUGGAAACGAUGGCUAAUACCGCAUGAUGCCUACGGGCCAAAGAGGGGGACCUUCGGGCCUCUCGCGUCAGGAUAUGCCUAGGUGGGAUUAGCUAGUUGGUGAGGUAAGGGCUCACCAAGGCGACGAUCCCUAGCUGGUCUGAGAGGAUGAUCAGCCACACUGGAACUGAGACACGGUCCAGACUCCUACGGGAGGCAGCAGUGGGGAAUAUUGCACAAUGGGCGCAAGCCUGAUGCAGCCAUGCCGCGUGUAUGAAGAAGGCCUUCGGGUUGUAAAGUACUUUCAGUCGUGAGGAAGGCGGCGUCGUUAAUAGCGGCGUUGUUUGACGUUAGCGACAGAAGAAGCACCGGCUAACUCCGUGCCAGCAGCCGCGGUAAUACGGAGGGUGCGAGCGUUAAUCGGAAUUACUGGGCGUAAAGCGCAUGCAGGUGGUUUGUUAAGUCAGAUGUGAAAGCCCGGGGCUCAACCUCGGAAUAGCAUUUGAAACUGGCAGACUAGAGUACUGUAGAGGGGGGU
rnacentral:rRNA from 1 species